rnacentral:lncRNA from 9 species
GCCAGCUCUUGGGAUGUACAAGUUCUCCUCAGCUGCACAUUCCAAGGACUGUGUGUGUGACCCAGUGACUGCAUCCAGUCGCCCCUUUUAUAGCCUCCUCUGGGGCAGAAAUGCUGGCCAUGAAGCAAUUUCUCAUCAGAACUACCUUCCUUCUUUGACACACGAAGGGGAAGCUCCUCCUCCAGUCUCUAACAGAAACAUUAAACAGCAGAUUCACAUUUACCCGGAGCACAGAUGACCUUUGGCUCAGGUCGACCAAUCAGAAGAUCGUUGCCAAGCCGAUGUGAGAGGUACAACAGAGACAAGGUAAGAGAGAAAGAAGUGAACCUAUUUAUGAACAAAAUCUGCAAGACUUGUUCCUAGAUUGUGGAGACAUGAGAAAGUGGAAGGAACCAAGACUGACUUUUCAGUUUCUAGCUUGAGCACAAGGCGAGAACUUUUGUAUAGUUUGGCUGAUGCUGAAUUACCUUAGAACAUGUUGCCUUUGAAGGACAGGGAGGGGACCAGAAAGCACUAUCCAGCAGGUGCUUGGAUAUUUAGGUCUGGGGACUGAAAAUAGAUCAAGAUAGAAAACACAGUUUGUGGAGUUGUCAAAAUAGGUGAAAUUAGAAGAACUGGAGUGGGGAGAGUAUAUAGAAUCAGAAGAAAAGAGAGCCAGGAAAAUAUCCUUGGGAAACAUUAGUAUUUAAAGGGGUGUAGAAGAAAGAGAACACUGUGGAAGAGACAGAGACUAAAGGAGCAGCCAGAGGAGUAAAGAGUUUUGAAGAGUGAGAGGUCAACUACAUUAAAUGCAGGGAGAAGGCUAAGAAAGUGAAAACUGAAAAUUAAACUUUAGCAUCACAAUGAGGCCAUUGAACCAGCAUUAAAGAUGGUUUCUGUUGAACGGCAUAGGUGGAAAUGACUGCAGUGGCUUAAGAAAUAAAAAGGAAGAAGAAUACACACAGAUAGUUAAUUUUCACAAAUUGAGUUCUCUGCAAGUAGACAGUGCUGUGGAGUUUGGGUGCAGGAUGUUUCUCAGAAAUCAACAUGUGUGGAAGGAAAAAGAGUGAUCCCAGAGAAUUUGACUUUGGGGUGCAUUAAUUUAACCACUAUAUUAUAGUGCUUCUCUGUUCUUAGAAAAAAAAGUGCCAUAUCCAUCUCAUGCCAUCAGAAUCAGAUUCAUCUAAUCCAUUCUGUCCCAUGGUGGUCACUGUUUUCACCCUUCCAGUCUUAUUAGGGACACCAAAGUAAGGGGUUAGGAAAAUAAAGAACAUAAAAGAACAUUUUAUAUUUCUCCCUCACCUUGGCUCUCUUUGAUUGUUCCCCAUUGUGGCUAGAAUGAACAUUCAGAAAACAUGAACUAAACCUAUGCCUGCAAGGGAAGUUCCAUGAUUUGAACUGCAAAUCCUAAAAAUAGAAUGAACAACAGUGUUGACACAUGACCUCUACCGCUAGGGACUGGGAAGGCAGGUGACUUAAGUUCACUGAGCUUAAUCACAAGUAAAGUAGAAAAGGUUGAAGCUUCUCUUCUUUAUCAUGCGGUUGCUCAGAAGUAUCCGUGAGAGCUCACUGUUGGGUCUGUUUCCCAGCAUACAACAG